AUUGAACGCUGGCGGCAUGCCUUACACAUGCAAGUCGAACGGUAACAGGUUAAGCUGACGCGUGGCGAACGGGUGAGUAAUACAUCGGAACGUGCCCAGUAGUGGGGGAUAGCCCGGCGAAAGCCGGAUUAAUACCGCAUACGACCUAAGGGUGAAAGGGGGGGCUCGCAAGACCUCUCGCUAUUGGAGCGGCCGAUGUCAGAUUAGCUAGUUGGUGGGGUAAAAGCUCACCAAGGCGACGAUCUGUAGCUGGUCUGAGAGGACGACCAGCCACACUGGGAUUGAGAAACGGCCCAGACUCCUAGGGGAGGCGGCAGUGGGGAAUUUUGGACAAUGGGCGCAAGCCUGAUCCAGCCAUGCCGCGGGCGGGAAGAAGGCCUUCGGGUUGUAAACCGUUUUUGUCAGGGAAGAAAUCCUUUGGGUUAAUACCUCGGGGGGAUGACGGUACCUUAAGAAUAAGCACCGGCUAACUACGUG
rnacentral:rRNA from 1 species